UAUGCCGAGACGAAGAAGGGAUGGAGGAGGAGGAGGAGGAGGAGGAGGAAUAGGAGGAGGAGGCAAACCUAUACAGAGAAACGCAGCCAAUGCAAGAGAAAGAGCAAGGAUGAGAAUAUUAUCCAGACGUGGCCUUUCAGUUUUGGAAGACAGAGCGAGACAGGAGUAAGAGAGAGAGAAUUUGCUCACACUCAAGACGACAGAUAUUCAGAAAUGCAGGAUUUU